GUGUUGAUUUGCAAGUGGCACUACAGGACACAACACGAGCCCUUCAAGCGCUAGCUGAGAUAGUUCAGGAUCUUCAGAGUGCUGUAGCAGGGGGAGAAGAAGAAGACUAGGAUGUAGAAGACCAAGAUUGUGGGGGAGCUGUGUUUUGUUGCUUUGUUUUCAUGUCUAUGUUAUUUCAAUUGCACCACUUGUUGCAAUUCAUUGUUAUCCAUGUUUUCAGACUGGCUAAGAUUAUGGGGGAGCAUUUGCAUAUGCUAUCUUUUGAUAUUAUGUAUUACUUUGCUUAAACCCGGUUUUAGGAUAAUAUAAGUAUGUUCUUAAUUGUCUUGAGUUGGUUGGAUUAACGUUUAGACAUAUAUACUGGUGCUGUUGUGUGUGGUUGGUUCUUGUCUUCUAUCUCAGGUACUUGUGAGACGACGAAUUAAAAAGGGGGAGAUUGAAGGUGUAUGGGAAGACGAUGCUGUAGCAGAGCUGAAGUAGUUCAUGAAGUGUGACAUGAACUACUACAUCAGAGAGGUGGUUCGUGAGAAGCACGUAUCAAGACCGAUGCAUUAAAAGAAGAUUUAAUGAAGAGGGACAUUAAAGGAAGACUUGAAGAAGAAGCAAUCGAUCUAAAAAGAAAAGGAAGAUUGGCUUAUUCGCUGAAGUAGAAGAAAUGGAAAGUUUCCAUUGGGUAGAUAGAUUAGAUCUAGGGCUUCCUGAAAGAUAUAUAAAGGAAGCGUUGGCAAUGUGUUGCCGGUUAACACACAGGGAGAGCUUUUAGCAAUAGAGAGUUUUGUACGUCCUAAGAAGGAGAAGCAAAGCAUCUAGGGGUUAAGAGCUUAGGUGGUUCAGAGUCUGUCUUAGAUCUCUGAACAAGUUGACUAGCAAACAAGUCGAGGUUUGUCUUGAGCUUGUUUGAUUUAUUGCUUUUAAGAAGAACGUGUAAGAGCUUUUGAAAGAAUAAAUAUAGUCGUAUUUCUUGGAA